AAGACAUUAGUAAAAUGUAUAUUACACCACCUUGUCGAGGUGAAAUUGUAGGUUAGACCCCCACAUGUCUUA
ensembl:Mt_tRNA